GGGCCUUUCCGCGGUUCGAACGCGGGACCUCUCGCACCCAAAGCGAGAAUCAUACCUCUAGACUAAAAGGCC